GUCUAUGGCCAUGCCACCCUGAACAAGCUCGAUGUCUGAUCUUGGAAGCUAAGCAGGAUCUGGCCUGAUUGGAUGGGUGACCUCCUAGGAAGAACAGGUGCUGUAGGCA
rnacentral:rRNA from 1 species